AAAGAACUAAAAGCAAUUGGCAAAUUAGCAAAAACUGACUAAACCAAAGCUAAAGCAAAAUCUGGACCUCUGAGCCUAAGUCUGAGAAGGCAAUUAGUGGCAAGUGACUACGAAGAACCCUGUGUUGAGAAGCUGAGCUUAAGCCUCUUGAAGAUUCUCCAUGUAAACAAGUCAGACCACAUCACUCAUUAUCCCUCUUUUGUUUACUGGGAGAAAAGUUCAACCUAUUUAAUGAGAGGAUUACCCAUACUUCAACUCCAUUGAAAAAGAUUAAUUGAUAUUUUCCUGUUAGGGGUUUAACCACUUGGAUGUGGCCUCAUAUCCCCUAUUGUUACUGAUGCUGUGAUCAGCAGAGCAAAGUUGUUUAAAGGUUAGACAAACUUUGCAGCAUAAAUUACACAAACUAAUUUAUGUUAAAGUUUGG
ensembl:lncRNA